rnacentral:rRNA from 1 species
GACGAACGCUGGCGGCGUGCCUAAUACAUGCAAGUUGAGCGCUGAAGGUUGGUACUUGUACCAACUGGAUGAGCAGCGCACGGGUGAGUAACGCGUGGGGAAUCUGCCUUUGAGCGGGGGACAACAUUUGGAAACGAAUGCUAAUACCGCAUAAAAACUUUAAACACAAGUUUUAAGUUUGAAAGAUGCAAUUGCAUCACUCAAAGAUGAUCCCGCGUUGUAUUAGCUAGUUGGUGAGGUAAAGGCUCACCAAGGCGAUGAUACAUAGCCGACCUGAGAGGGUGAUCAGCCACAUUGGGACGGAGACACGGCCCAAACGCCUACGGGAGGCAGCAGUAGGGAAUCUUCGGCAAUGGACGAAAGACUGACCGAGCAACGCCGCGUGAGUGAAGAAGGUUUUCGGAUCGUAAAACUCUGUUGGUAGAGAAGAACGUUGGUGAGAGUGGAAAGCUCAUCAAGUGACGGUAACUACCCAGAAAGGGACGGCUAACUACGUG